AUUUGUGGUCAAACCUCCUGGUCAACCUGAACACAUCAGAUCUCAGAAGCUAAGCAGGACUGGGCCCAGUUAGUACUUGAACGGGAGACCGCUGGGAAUACCAGGUGCAACAGUAC
rnacentral:rRNA from 1 species